rnacentral:piRNA from 1 species
UUCUACUUUGAUGUGUACACAGAACAGUGAC